rnacentral:rRNA from 1 species
CAGCAGCCGCGGUAAUACGUAGGGGGCAAGCGUUAUCCGGAAUUACUGGGUGUAAAGGGAGCGUAGACGGUUAAACAAGUCUGAAGUGAAAUGCCGGGGCUCAACCCCGGAGCUGCUUUGGGAACUGUAGAACUGGAGUGUCGGAGGGGUAAGCGGAAUUCCCAGUGUAGCGGUGAAAUGCGUAGAUAUUGGGAGGAACACCGGCGGCGAAGGCGGCUUACUGGGCGACAACUGACGUUGAGGCUCGAAGGCGUGGGUAGCAAACAGGAUUAGAUACCCCCGUAGUCCCUGUCUCUUAUAC